rnacentral:misc_RNA from 1 species
UCAUCCUCACCAUGUUUCUAGCUUUCAUUUGCAACCUUUCCAUCCAUGAUGUUGUUAGAAUAAUGAGAUUGAAAAAUUCACUUUUGUUACUGUUGAAGCUAAACCACUGCGAAUAACGACCUCCCACAACAAGUACACAGUGGCAUUGGACUCCCCUCAGCAAUGCGAGUUGAAUGGCACCAAUUUCACCCCAGAAUGCCACCAUUGAAUGGCAGAG